GCAAACUUGGUCAUUUAGAGGAAGUAAAAGUCGUAACAAGGUUUCCGUAGGUGAACCUGCGGAAGGAUCAUUAACAAAUUGUCCACUGCAUAAUGGAUAAUUUUUUAUCCUUUAUCCACCUUGUGUGCAUCAUUGAAGCGUUUGUUUGGCAGGUUUUUGAACACUCUCUUCAGGAGAGCUCGGCCUGCCAAUUUUAUUUUUUGUAUAACAUGUCUAAAUAAAAAUGUCUGAACUAUUUUUUAAAUAAAUACAACUUUCAACAACGGAUCUCUUGGCUCUCGCAUCGAUGAAGAACGCAGC
rnacentral:misc_RNA from 1 species